AAAAAUUUGGGGUUUCUUUACACUCACAAAUCAAACCAUCGGACUGCCGAGGCUCACCCAAACACUCUCUAACUAAUUCUCCCUCACUCUCGUCUCCGUACCCUCGCCGCUCGGACUGCCGAGCCACCACCGUCCUCCCCGCCGCGGGUCCAACAGUCCCCCAACAACCUCUUUCUCCCUCAUUCCCUUCCUCACUCUCCCUCACACUCCGUCGGCCUUGCCUUCUGCCGCCGACACCACCACCUCCAACAACACAGCCACCGCGGCCAUCCUCGGACUCCUUUCCUCCCUCAGCCGCCUGGCACACCCCUGACGUGGUGGAAGGAGACUCCUCCGUGAGUUUAUUGGAGCGUUGCUUGGUAGCGCCACUGGCUGUUUCUUCUUCUUCUAUGCUGAGUCCAGUUAUGAAAGGGCAGUACUGUGCGUUUGGUGCGGUUACCUUGGAGAAAGGCAAGCUUGAUAUGUCCCAGAAGCAAUCCCAGACUAGCCCCGAGGAUGAUACUAGCAGAGAUGAAGAGGAUAACUCAAACAAUAACAAGGAGGUUGAAAACAGCUUGGAGGGUGACUCAGAGGAAGAUUAAUAUAGGUUUUGUCAUAAUUCUAGUUGUUUAAAUUUAAAACAAGGUUUAAUUUCAGGAUUUCUUUGUAUAUUCUAUAUUUUAAAGUUUGAACU